UGCAGUGCAAGUAUAGAGGUCUAGCCCUAUCAAGUGAUCAGAAGACUUAUGACCACUUGACUGAAUAAGCGAAGCAGGAAAGUUAUAGACAAGUGUAAUCAAUUGAUCAAAGAUACCUUUGAUCAACUAAUUAAGGGUAAAGAUCAAGCUAGGUAUAUGAUAAGCACAUGAGUUUUAUUUGAAUAAAAAUCAUGAAUAUCCUAAUUGAAAAUUAGAAGGAAAAUAAAGAGCUAAAAAAUUCAAUUAAUUCCUAAUUAAACCUAAACAUGUACGAAGCUGUUUUUGUUUUAAAUAUAUUUUCAAGUAUUUUUAAAGUGUAUAAAACAUAUGUAUUUAUGAAUUAAAAUGCAUUUAGGAUGACAAAACUAGAAUUAGUUAAAAAAUAAUUGAUUAUUGAAAACACAAGUCCUGCAGGGGGUAUGCAAUAAACUGGGGGUGUGGCCCUGGCCAUACAUAUGUAUUUAUGAAUUAAAAUGCAUUUAGGAUGACAAAACUAGAAUUAGUUAAAAAAUAAUUGAUUAUUGAAAACACAAGUCCUGCAGGGGGUAUGCAAUAAACUGGGGGUGUGGCCCUGGCCAUCGAGGCGUUGGGCUUAGCCAGAAACCCAAUGAAAUGUUGUUGAAGUAGCCUGGUUCAGGAGGGGGUAUGUUGAGAAAAUUAUGGGUGCAUGGGCAUAUGGUUCUAUGUGUUUCAAUCAGCCAGGCCCACCAUGCAAUAAACCAAGAUUGAUGGGAGUGCAGGCAUCAAAUCAAAGCAUUCCUUUGUUUCACUUGUUCAGACCUCUUUCUCUCACUGGCGCUCUACUCCGUCGCGCCGAAGGUGGAAGAGUUGAUCCCAACCACCAAAUAACCUCCUCAUAUUACUUGUCACAACAUCCUCUCCCUCAAUAUCACCUCAAUUUCAUUUGAAGCCUCACUAAAACCUCUGAAAAGAGCUAAACCUUCAAGAACCUUAACUAUUGAAACUGAAAUUAAAUUGAAACAAAGGCUCGAACGAAGCUCAAACCUUAGGGGUUUGUCUCCUCUACAGAGUGGCUACAUGGCAGUAACACAAUUAGGAUAAGGAAGAGAAGUUAGGACGACCAACCUACAAGGCAGAGGCGAGCCUUGGUGCUCUGUUGAAGACGAAUAUGAUGGAGGUACAAAUCACAGAAACCCAAAGAUAUUUAGGUGCUUAUUUCAAACUCUUCCAAGCCUCUUUGCUGCAGUUCUUCUUCUUCUUCUCAAACUCUAGUCCUUAGGGUUGUGAUUACUGAUGUUGUUGUAUGUUAUACAUGUGAGUGAGAGGAGAGUGCUUGAGAGUGGUGAUUGAUGAUGAAUUGUUGCAGAGAGUUCAAAUAGGGAGAGAGAAAUCAAAAGGAUGAGAAUUUUCAGUGAGUUUGUGGAAUUUUG
rnacentral:lncRNA from 1 species